AACUUCACAAAACUUGAAAUCUUACAGAAAAAGGAGGCAGAAUAAACCUAUCCUAUGUACACCUCAGCCUAGGCCACUGUGCCUGGUCUGCAUUGUGAAUGGUGAAACAUGG